GUCUCGGUAGUGUAAUCGAUUAGAACAACAGAUUGGAUAUUUGCCUGUGCGGGUUCAACUCCAGUCUGAGGCU
rnacentral:tRNA from 1 species